rnacentral:rRNA from 1 species
UACGGAGGGUGCAAGCGUUGCUCGGAAUCAUUGGGCGUAAAGCGUACGCAGGCUGCUUGUCAAGUCGGGUGUGAAAGCCCGGGGCUCAACCCCGGAACGGCGCCCGAAACUGGCAGGCUUGAAUGCGGGAGAGGGAAGCGGAAUUCCUGGUGUAGAGGUGAAAUUCGUAGAUAUCAGGAGGAACACCGGUGGCGAAAGCGGCUUCCUGGCCCGACAUUGACGCUCAUGUACGAAAGCGUGGGGAGCAAACAGG